rnacentral:tRNA from 1 species
GAGAUAGGAAGAGCAACUGACUUUUAAUCAGUAGGUCAUGGGCUUGAUUCCCAUUGCGCUCA